UCAUGUGAUCUGCCUAACGUGUUUCA
rnacentral:misc_RNA from 1 species